GACAGAGGAGCCAAGCGUUGUCCGGAAUUACUGGGCGUAAAGCGUGCGCAGGCGGCUAUGCAAGACAGAUGUGAAAGCCCUGGGCUUAACCUGGGAAUUGCAGUCGAAACUACUCGGCUAGAGUAUGGGAGAGGACAGUGGAAUUCCCGGUGUAGCGGUGAAAUGCGUAGAUAUCGGGAGGAACAUCAGUGGCGAAGGCGGCUGUCUGGCCCAAUACUGACACUCAGGUGCGACAGCGUGGGGAGCAAACAGG
rnacentral:rRNA from 1 species